rnacentral:rRNA from 1 species
CGGAGGCAGCAGUGGGGAAUUUUGGGCAAUGGCCGAAAGGGCUGACCCAGCAACACCGCGUGAGUGAAGAAGGCCUUCGGGUUGUAAAGCUCUGUUGCCCGUGAAGAACGGUACUAUCAGGAAAUGGGUAGUACUUGACGGUAGCGGGUGAGGAAGCUCCGGCUAACUACGUGCCAGCAGCCGCGGUAAUACGUAGGGAGCGAGCGUUGUCCGGAUUUAUUGGGCGUAAAGGGCGUGUAGGCGGCUUUUUAAGUCUGAAGUGAAACGCCAGGGCUCAACCCUGGAACUGCUUCGGAUACUGGGAAGCUUGAGUACUCUAGAGGGCAGUGGAAUUCCGGGUGUAGCAGUGAAAUGCGUAGAGAUCCGGAGGAACACCAGUGGCGAAGGCGACUGCCUGGGGAGAAACUGACGCUGAGGCGCGAAAGCUGGGGGAGCAAACGGGAUUAGAUACCCCGGUAGG